rnacentral:rRNA from 1 species
AUGAACGCUAGCGGCAGGCUUAACACAUGCAAGUCGAGGGGCAUCGGGAGUAGCAAUACUUGCCGGCGACCGGCGCAAGGGUGCGUAACGCGUGAGCAACAUGCCCGUAUCAGGGGGAUAAUCCAUGGAAACGUGGUCUAAUACCCCAUAGUAAUUAUGUAAGGCAUCUUAUAUAAUUUAAAGCUUUGGUGGAUACGGAUUGGCUCGCGUGACAUUAGCUGGAUGGUAAGGUAACGGCUUACCAUGGCUACGAUGUCUAGGGGUUCUGAGAGGAAGGUCCCCCACACUGGAACUGAGACACGGUCCAGACUCCUAUGGGAGGCAGCAGUGAGGAAUAUUGGACAAUGGAUGGAAAUCUGAUCCAGCCAUGCCGCGUGCAGGAAGAACCGGCCCUAUGGGUUGUAAACUGCUUUUGUAUGGGAGCAAUAAGGGCUACGUGUAGUCCGAUGAGAGUACCAUACGAAUAAGCACCGGCUAACUCCGUGCCAGCAGCAGC